GACGAACGCUGGCGGCGUGCCUAAUACAUGCAAGUCGAACGCAUUUUCUUUCACCGUAGCUUGCUACACCGAAAGAAAAUGAGUGGCGAACGGGUGAGUAACACGUGGGUAAACUGCCCAUCAGCGGGGGAUAACACUUGGAAACAGGUGCUAAUACCGCAUAAUUCCAUUUACCGCAUGGUAAAUGGAUGAAAGGCGCUUUUGCGUCACUGAUGGAUGGACCCGCGGUGCAUUAGCUAGUUGGUGGGGUAACGGCCUACCAAGGCUGCGAUGCAUAGCCAACCUGAGAGGGUGAUCGGCCACACUGGGACUGAGACACGGCCCAGACUCCUACGGGAGGCAGCAGUAGGGAAUCUUCGGCAAUGGACGCAAGUCUGACCGAGCAACGCCGCGUGAGUGAAGAAGGUUUUCGGAUUGUAAAACUCUGUUGUUAGAGAAGAACAAGGAUGAGAGUGGAAAGUUCAUCCCUUGACGGUAUCUAACCAGAAAGCCACGGCUAACUACGUG
rnacentral:rRNA from 1 species